rnacentral:rRNA from 1 species
UGGGGAAUCUUGCGCAAUGGCCUAACGGCUGACGCAGCGACGCCGCGUGAGGGAUGAAGCUUUUCGGAGUGUAAACCUCUGUUGCCCGGGACGAAUAGCGGAUUAUUCCGACUUGACGGUACCGGGUGAGGAAGCACCGGCUAACUCCGUGCCAGCAGCCGCGGUAAUACGGGGGGUGCGAGCGUUGUCCGGAAUCACUGGGCGUAAAGGGCGCGUAGGUGGCGUCGUAAGUUUGUGGUGAAAGCCUGGGGCUCAACCCCAGGUCUGCCGCGAAUACUGCGAGGCUUGAGUACUGUAGAGGCAGGUAGAAUAUCGGGUGUAGCGGUGGAAUGCGUAGAGAUCCGAUAGAAGACCGGUGGCGAAGGCGGCCUGCUGGGCAGUAACUGACACUGAGGCGCGACAGCGUGGGGAGCAAACAGGAUUAGAUACCCCCGUAGUCC